GAUGAACGCUGGCGGCGUGCCUAAUACAUGCAAGUCGAGCGAACGGACGAGAAGCUUGCUUCUCUGAGGUUAGCGGCGGACGGGAGAGUAACACGUGGAUAACCUACCUAUAAGACUGGGGUAACUUUGGGAAACCGGAGCUAAUACCGGAUAAUAUUUUGCACCGCAUUGUUCAAGAGUGAAAGUCGGUCUUUCUAUCGAUUAUAGAUGAGACGGCGUUGGAUUAGCUAGUUGGUUAGGUAAAGGCUUAGCAAGGCUACGAUGCAUAGCUGGUCUGAGAGGCUGAGCAGAGACACUGGGACUGAGACACGGUCCAGACUCCUACGGGAGGCAGCAGUGGGGAAUAUUGGACAAUGGGCGAAAGCCUGAUCCAGCAAUGCCGCGUGAGUGAUGAAGGCCUUAGGGUUGUAAAGCUCUUUUACCCGGGAUGAUAAUGACAGUACCGGGAGAAUAAGCUCCGGCUAACUCCGUG
rnacentral:rRNA from 1 species